UCGCAUAGGAGAUCUCGUCAAGGAAUAUCGCAAAUCAGGUGAGCCUUGAUGUGGGGACUUGGGCCGGAGAGGAUUCAGAGUGGCCACGGUGAUCAUCUUUGGGCUUUUAAAUAAGUGUUGGUUUUCAUUUAAUUUCCUUUAAUUAUUAUUUAUUUUUGGGUUGUAAUAAGGCCAAUUUUAACUUUCCUUUUAUUUC